GCGUCAGUAGUGCAGUGGGUUAAGGCACACGCUUUUGGGAUAGUGUGAGACCGGGUUCGAGUCCCGCCUGACACG